rnacentral:rRNA from 1 species
UACGUAGGUGGCAAGCGUUGUCCGGAAUCACUGGGCGUAAAGCGCGCGCAGGCGGCGAUCUACGUCUGGGGUGAAAGCCCGGGGCUCAACUCCGGGACUGCCUUGGAUACGGGAUCGCUUGAGGAUUGGAGAGGCAAGGGGAAUUCCACGUGUAGCGGUGAAAUGCGUAGAGAUGUGGAGGAACACCUGUGGCGAAGGCGCCUUGCUGGCCAAUUACUGACGCUGAGGCGCGAAAGCGUGGGGAGCAAACAGG